rnacentral:rRNA from 1 species
CCUACGGGAGGCCGCAGAGGGGAAUAUUGGGCAAUGGGCGCAAGCCUGACCCAGCAACGCCGCGUGAAGGAAGAAGGCUUUCGGUUUGUAAACUUCUUUUCUCAGGGACGAAGCAAGUGACGGUACCUGAGGAAUCAGCCACGGCUAACUACGUGCCAGCAGCCGCGGGAAUACGUAGGUGGCAAGCGUUAUCCGGAUUUACUGGGUGUAAAGGGCGUGUAGGCGGGGACGCAAGUCAGAUGUGAAAACCACGGGCGCAACCUGUGGCCUGCAUUUGAAACUGUGUUUCUUGAGUACUGGUGAGGCAGACGGAAUGCCUAGUGUAGCGGUGAAAUGCGUAGAUAUUAGGAGGAACACCAGUGGCGAAGGCGGUCUGCUGGACAGCAACUGACGCUGAGGCGCGAAAGCGUGGGGAGCAAACAGGAUUAGAUACCCGAGUAGUC